UGGGCCUGAGGAGGAAGCCGAGCUCCAGAGACCUCGGAGGGGGGCCGAGGUGCUGGGUCACAGCCCCUCCCGUGUCCACAAGGACAGGUGAGGCCACAGCGCUCUCCCGGGUGCCUCGGAACCUGGCAGGUGACAGGUGACGACACAGGAUGCCAAUUCCCUGCUGCCUUUGUAGUUUCUGUCUUCUCUCUGGGAAAGGAUGACAGAUAGUUUUGCUUUCGUUUACAGGAAAGUGAAACCUUCCUCAUUUCAGAUGCGGCCAGGGAAGGCCCCGGAAACUUAGUGUCCUGGCAUCUGCUUGGACGGACGUCCUUGGCAUCAGUCUUUCUUGUCGCCAGAGGUGCCCCCCACUUCCGCAGCCCCUGAAUCCACGCCCUGUGUCUGACUCACACAGCGUCCCGCGGGUGGCAGAGGCUCAGCUGAACAGGAGAGGUCGGGGUGCACGGCUGGCAGCACCAGAGAGCAGGGAUCGAAGAGGAGGCAGUGUGAGCGGCAUGACUUCCCUGCAAGGUCCUUCGGCGGGAGACCCGACUCUGAGGUAAGGAGUAGUAGCCCACGGACAUUUCCUUCAGUGAGAGUAAAGAGCAGCGCAAGAACCCAGGGGGCUACAGACUUCUCUUUUUCUUUUUUCUUUUGGUACUGGGGAUCGAAUUCAGGAUCUUGCACUUGUGAGGCAGACGCAGCGCCACUGAGCUAAAUCUCCAGCCCUCCUAUUCUUUCUUUUUGUCUUUUGCAACUUAAUUUUCUGAUCAUUGUCUUUCUAUCUUCCCUGUUCCUCUUUAAUUACCUUUCAGCGUUCUUCUCCAUCACCUGUUCCUCUUCUCUCGGUCACAUUUCCGAGCGCCCUUAUGAAAUGUUCAGAGAAGCUGUUACUUCAACUUUAGUUCCUGCUUUGUAGCCUGUGCCUGUUACCCUCUUAGUCUACCAGGAGGUCACGUGGGAAUUACGUCAUCUCAUGAAGGGGGGCGGGGGACGGGGCGACUGUGCAACAGCUGCAUGUGGUGCCUCAGGGUGGCAGGAGCCUGAAGGUGCCAGAGCUUAGGACUCAGCUAUGUCUGCAGAGCCAGCACAAUCCUGCACUUCCUGAGCCGAAGAGCUCCCCACUUCACUCACUGUUUUGAGAUGGGCUCCUGUUCUGUUGGGCUUGAACUCUAGAUCCUCCUGCCUCAGCAUCCCAAGUAGCUGGGAUUACCACCCUACACCACCACCUCUGGCUUACAUUACUCUCUCCUCUGAUCUGUCUACCAAGAAGAUCCUUUGAGACUUCACCACUUGCUGAAAUCUAGUUUGCGUCCCCUGAGGACUAGACACUGCGAAAUGUGAAGCCAGAGGGUUAGCAGAUGACACGGCGCCCUUACACACCCACACUGCAGCCCACACUCGGGGAUCGUGGGGAGCUGGCCUCACAGCGUGGUGGGCAGAAGCCCUCUCUCUCCCCAGCUGGGAGAGGGACGCCGGGUGGGAUCGGCCCGGCAGGCAGGUGGGACAGG
ensembl:lincRNA